GGGUGCAUUCCCACAGUGGCGGGGAGCCUGGGGUGUCUCUGAAUUCUUGUCUUCUUGCAUCAUCUCUGACCUCAGAGGCCAAAGCACCUGAAAACUCCGGGGUCUGGAGAGCAUGGGGAGCGGGGGUGGCGGGGGCGGCGAGGUGGGGGGGGGGGGCGGCCAUCAUUCCUGGAAUCAGGGCCCCUGGGCGCCUCUGCUGCCUGAGGAGAGGCUGGGCUUCCCGCAGCUCGGGACCCUCCAGGCUGCACUCCCCGAGCCAAGUGCAUCUGGACACCCUGGCGGGGAGCUGCCCACGGCUCCGCCUUCCCCUGCGGGACCCAAGAGGAAACGCAGAGCCCGAACCCUGGGAGCGGUGGUUCGAUCCACAGAGAAGGGAAAAGCCAGAGGCGCGGCUGGGCCGGGAAGCCUGGACCCCCCGCCUUACAAGACCAGCGCCCUCCUACCAGGAGACACGGGGCUGGAUGCGGGCCUCUGGCCGGGAUCCUCAUCCUCUCCCAGUGAGAACCCUGAGGAAGAGCUCUAUGGCAGAGACCGAAGCCCACUCUCCCUUCUUUUGCGGUAACGGACCUGAAUGUACGUGGAUGCUGUUGAACCUGGGACCUCACUUCUCUCCAGUCUUCCUCCACCCCGGGGUGGUGGUGGGGUUCAUGACAAAGUCUGAGCCAAUGAUCAUAAGGGAGGUGAUCCACCCCCAGGCUGUCUUCUGAGAGACAGCCCAACUCAUCCAACCGAAACAACAAUCGAAGACUUCUACUCCAAGUUAGAAGUCAACCAGCGUGACCGAAUGCACCCAGAUUUCCUUCUUUUCCCUUUCUGUAGGAAGGGAAAGAAAAAUGGAGAAACAAGGAGAUCCCACAACUCAGCUCUGGCCUGAGAAGGCAAUACUCUAGGGGAUGAAACAGUACCAAGAAGGAAGUACCAGGAAGGAACCCGCAUCCCUGAAUCAACUUGAUCUUCCAUCUAGAUAGAGGUGGUUAUUUGAGAGAGUAGUCUUAUCCUUUAAGCCCUGUAUUCUGGGGUGGAAGGAAGGAGCUGUCGGUUAGCUACCCUAAUUACCUUGGGUUCCUCUGAGGCGAAUGCAGUAAUAUUCUCAUGGCAGAACUAACUGUUUUACCGAAUGAGGUGACAGAAUCCUCUAAGAGUACUGGGGAUGGGGCGAGGAGAGGACAAGACCAAGUUUCUGGACCCAAAGCUAUAGAUUCUAACGCUGCUUUCUUGAGAACAUGAAGACUCGCUUGUAUGUAUCUUUCUAGCCAUGAACGUUUCAUGGACACUGCUCGCUUAGCCAAAAGAUGUACUUUUCAUAUUUCUUAAUUAAAUUCCGGGGAAGAUUUAGGAAGCGACAUUUGAAACCUGGGGUCUUUCCCAUGUUUACUACCUCCCUCCCUCCACCUUGGUCAUCAGUUGAAGUUAAACUGCAUAUACAUAAACCUCUUAAGUCUGUACUGAGGUGUUUUAAAGAAAAUACAGAUAAUGUUUUACCUGUAUUUUCUUAUUCAAAUUAUUGUUAUAGCCCAAGUGGCUAUCACCUUGGUCAUCAUUUUCUUUAUUACAUUAAAGAAAUUUGGGGACUUCCUUAGCAGUCCAGUCGUUAAGACUCCGCCUUCCAUUGCAGAGGGCCCAGGUUCGACCCCUGGUCAGGGAACUGAGGUCCCACAUGCCAUGGGGUGUGGCCAAAAAUGUUAUAAAUAAAUAAAUAAAUUUGGCUCA
ensembl:lncRNA